rnacentral:lncRNA from 1 species
AUGGGGCCCCGUCCAGCCUGCUUUCCACUCCGCCAAGCCCUGUGCCCGUGGGCUGCUUCCCCUGAGCAGGGACCGGUUCUCCAUCCGCACCGGUCAUCCGGGCCUGCGGCAGCCUGGGCAGCACCAUCGGCGGCAUGGAGGGUGGAGAAGCCUUGGAACCGUCUGGCCUUUUCCUCGUGCUUCUUCCCUCUCUCUGCUGCUUCUCAACGUCCCAGGCGUCUGUCCUCCACCCCAACUACGUGACCCCGGCCGGUCGCCUACCCCCCAGAACCUCCCGCCUGGCGGUGGCUGUGACUCCCAUUAGCCGAAACCUGAGGACUCCUGGGUGGGUUUGAGCCCUCAGGGGCCUGUCCCCAGGAGACGACAGGGACUGGGGUCUGCUCCCCCAGGGAGGGCGGCCGGGCCAGGGAGGGUAGAGGCCGUCACCUCAGUCUGGCCUCGGUAUUUUUAGCGUCUUCCCUCCUGUCCUCCCUCCCACAAGCCACUAGCCCACUCCUUGCCCAAAUAACAGUCACCAGAAUAGCCCUGGCAGUUGACUGAGGGGUACUGGGAGGGUCCCCUCCCUCCUGCCUUCGGUCAGGCGUGAGCAGAGGCCCCGGGGCUGGGUGAGGCCCAAGCGGAGGCUGUUAAUUGUACCUUUGGCCCGAAUAAGAAAAUAGCUCUCCUUGGGGCUGAUGGCAGCACUGGUUCUCAGGAGCCAGGUGCCCCGGGGCUUGCUGGGGACAGACGCCUCAGGGUCUGGAGGGGGCCUUUCUCCCAGAAGGCAGCAGCAAGGUGGGCAAGGUGAUCAGAGACAAAGUCUGCUCAGGGCUCCGUGUCACGCUCGCCGUACAGGUUGGGGCCCGAGGACCAGAGACAGUCGGUGUGCCCAGCCGUCACCUCUGCAAGGAGCCCUUCACUGACACCCCUGCUGAAACGGCACUGUCACUAGCCCCUCGCCGGCUCUGUUUUUCUUCCCAGUCCCGGUCACCACUCGGCAUGAUAUCGCGGUCUGCCUUGUCCGCAUUUCUUGCGUCCCCCCCUAGAAGCCAGAUUCCCGAGGCAGGACAUGGUCUGUUCCAUCCCCAUCUUGUCCUCCGCACCUAGACCAAUGCCUGCCACUCCGUACACUCGGCAUUAGCAAAUAACCGG